UACAGAGGUCCCAAGCGUUGUUCGGAUUCACUGGGCGUAAAGAGUGCGUAGGUGGUGCCCUAAGUCUGUUGUGAAAUCUCCCGGCUUAACUGGGAGGGUGCGGUGGAAACUGGGGUGCUUGAGUGUGGGAGAGGUAAGCGGAAUUCCUGGUGUAGCGGUGAAAUGCGUAGAUAUCAGGAGGAACACCGGUGGUGUAGACGGCUUACUGGACCACGACUGACACUGAGGCACGAAAGCGUGGGUAGCAAACAGG
rnacentral:rRNA from 1 species